AGAAGAUUAAAGAGCGCGAGGAGAUCUCACAGACCAGUGGAAUAAAGGCCUUUUGCAUAUGAGGAUCAGGUGACAAGUUAACUGGCUACCAACCUCCAAAGCAAUUCGCCCUUUCAUGGUGAGGUCCCAAUUUUAACAGACUAAAGAAAGAGGUUUAAGACUAAAAAUGUCAAGUUAUAUCCAUUUUUAGGAAGAAGUCUUUAUGCUUACCUGCCUUAAGAUGCCAGCAUUUUAAGAUUACUUCUAUACCAGGAAAAUACAGAUAUAGUUCAUGUGUACACUGAUAAUGACUAGCUCCUGAAAGGCAGUAUGAGUUUAAAUGGAGUACUAGAGGAAAGAACAGCUUACAUGUGAGGGUUACAAUUUUGUGUAUAUUUGGGGAGAGCGGGGGGCAGGUGUUCAGAACUACUAGUUGAUGUGAUAUUAGUUUCUUAAGAGGUUAAGUUGGAAAGUUUUUGAGACCCACAAAUAUCCAACUACUCUUGUUGUCAAAUUAAUAUGAAUUUGACUACUUGAUAUAGGAAUAAAAUUUUAAGGAGAAAGCCAUUUUUAAUGAAAUACCUUUUAUCUCAGUAGUCAAUCUUUAGAAGACUUUCUGACCAAACUGGAAUUCCUAGAAAAAAAGGAAAAAUAGGACUAAACUGAAAAAUAAGAUCGUUUUAGAAGAGCAUACAACUAAGUCUCUGUAAAGUUUCCAAAAUAUAUAAAUAAAUUGCAAAUUAUUUGAAUUAUUUUAGAAUAAAGAGUAAGGAAAGAUUAUUCAAAACAUUUGGUAUGUAGAGUGAAACUUGAUGGGCACUCAUUUAUUUGAAUUUUUUUCUUUUGAAAUGGAUAUUUAAAUUCAUCGACUUUUUCUAGACACUGGGAUGUCACAAUGAACAGGGAUAAAAUUACCUGCUCCUGUGGGUGAGGGGUGGGGUUUGUAUACUAAUGUCACAUAAACUUUGUGUACUUUAGAUUACUAGAAAAUAUUUUUGGAUGAAACCAUAAAACCUCUUUUAGCAUUUUGGGGAAUAUGAUUUGAAAACUCUUACAGUCUUGUGAGGGGUAGGGAGGUAUUUACCAGUUACCGAUGAUAGAUAAAAGAGCUUACUUUAUUUCUUAUUUGUACCCUUUGUUAUUGCAUGAAACAUUAUUCAAACAUUUCAGUAGGUCUUUUUAACGGAUAGAGGUUUUAUUUUUUUCAUAAUUUUAAGCAUGACUUUGAAAUAAAUAAAAUGUUAUUUUAUAUUGA
rnacentral:lncRNA from 1 species